rnacentral:rRNA from 1 species
AUUGAACGCUGGCGGCAUGCCUUACACAUGCAAGUCGAACGGCAGCGCGGGGCAACCUGGUGGCGAGUGGCGAACGGGUGAGUAAUGCAUCGGAACGUACCUUUCAGUGGGGGAUAACGUAGCGAAAGUUACGCUAAUACCGCAUAUUCUGUGAGCAGGAAAGCAGGGGAUCGCAAGACCUUGCGCUGAUUGAGCGGCCGAUGUCAGAUUAGCUAGUUGGUGAGGUAAAGGCUCACCAAGGCGACGAUCUGUAGCGGGUCUGAGAGGAUGAUCCGCCACACUGGAACUGAGACACGGACAAGACUCCUAUGGGAGGCAGCAGUGGGGAAUUUUGGACAAUGGGGGCAACCCUGAUCCAGCCAUGCCGCGUGAGUGAAGAAGGCCUUCGGGUCGUAAAGCUCUUUCGGCCGGGAAGAAAUCGCACGGGCUAAUACCCUGUGUGGAUGACGGUACCGGAAUAAGAAGCACCGGCUAACUCUGUGCCAGCAGCCGCCGUAAGAC